AAGUGUGUUUGUGUAGUUACUGGAGAGGAGGGUACAGAACGCACUGAAGCCCAGCAUUCAACUUGUAGCCUACGGCAAAGUUGGGAAUAGAAAACACGAUGGAUGAUCCUUGGGAAAUCCCAUGGCAGAAUUGGGAAGAUGCCAGUGCUUCAUCCUGAGGUGCAAGGAGCAAUUGAAUCCGCGCUUCUGACCUCAGUAGGAAACCAGGUCUCUAUCCCUGCUGCUUUAUCAGAAGUGACAGUACAAAUGAUGGGCUGAAGGGCAUGUGCCCACUUGACUCAUUUAGUGGAAUCAGCCGAGGACGACGUCAAAGUGAACUGGAAUCUUU